ensembl:lncRNA
AUGGAGAUUAAGUCCAGUAGACCUAAUCUCCAUGCAGAGAAUAAUGGAGCUGAUGCAGCUCCAAAAGAAGCCUCAUCUUGUUCUGCUUGCAAAGCUUCAUUUGUCAUACUAAUCUGCAUUAAAGUCACGAGGGACAUCAGUGUUUGGGCGUUGACGUCCGCGCCCUGCACAGCCGUGGACGCCGACGGCCGCGCGGGAUCGUCUGCGCCCAUGAACAGCUGA